AAGCUCGUAGUUGAAUUUCGGGAUCGAAUUGUUGGUCGUGCUUCGGUACGCACUGGCAUUAUCGGUUCCUACCUUCUGAAGAACCGCGAUGUCAUUAAUUUGGUGUCGUGGGGAAUCAGGACUGUUACUUUGAAGAAAUUAGAGUGUUUAAAGCAGGCUUACGCUUGAAUACAUUAGCAUGGAAUAAUGAAGUAGGACGUUUGAUUCUAUUUUGUUGGUUUCUAGGAUCGACGUAAUGAUUAAUAGGGAUAGUUGGG
rnacentral:rRNA from 1 species